GCGGCUUUGGAAGAACCGCUCACCGAAAGGGACGGAGGGAAUGGCCUUCGUCCGCGCGAGGAUGGGGCUGCGUCCCAUCAGGCAGUUGGUGGGGUAAUGGCCCACCAAACCUAUAACGGGUACGGGCCGUGAGAGAGGGAGCCCGGAGAUGGGUUCUGAGACACGAACCCAGGCCCUACGGGGCGCAGCAGGCGCGAAACCUUCGCACUGCGCGAAAGCGCGACGAGGGGAGCCCGAGUGCCUCUCCAUUUCGGGGAGGCUUUUCACAAGCCUAAAAAGCUUGUGGAAUAAGGGCUGGGCAAGACGGGUGCCAGCCGCCGCGGUAAUACCCGCAGCUCGAGUGGUGGUCGCUUUUAUUGAGCCUAAAACGUUCGUAGUCGGCCUUGUAAAUCCCUGGGUAAAUCGGACCGCUUAACGGUUCGAAUUCCGGGGAGACUGCAAGGCUAGGGACCGGGCGAGGUCAGAGGUACUUUCGGGGUAGGAGUGAAAUCCUGUAAUCCCGAAGGGACCACCUGUGGCGAAAGCGUCUGACUUGAACGGCUCCGACGAUGAGGAACGAAGGCUAGGGGAGCAAACCGGAUUAGAUACCCGGGUAGUCCUAGCUGUAAACUCUGCCCGCUUGGUGUGGCCUGUCCUUCGGGGGCAGGCUGUGCCGGAGCGAAGGUGUUAAGCGGGCUGCUUGGGGAGUACGGCCGCAAGGUUGAAACUUAAAGGAAUUGGCGGGGGAGCACCGCAACGGGAGGAUGCGUGCGGUUUAAUGGAUCAACGCCGG
rnacentral:rRNA from 1 species